rnacentral:lncRNA from 1 species
GAUUGAUGGGGAUGGCUGACAUGUGUGGACUUGUUGUGGUACGCAUAUAUUGUGGGUUUAGGUUCACCUUGCAAGGUAAAAAAACUCGAUUCGAAUCGUCUGCCUCUCACAGUUUGAGACUGCUUGACUACUGUGUUGCACUGAGUAAGAAGUGGAACAAAAGAUGAUAGUUAAUAUUGAUGCUUGAAUUAAAUUGUUGCUCAACAUGCUUUCUUAGAAUAGGUGCUUAC